rnacentral:tRNA from 1 species
UGAGGUGUGGCUCAAUAGUACAGCGCUAGCCCAGCACGCAUGAGGCCCUGGGUUCCAUUCCCAGCACCACAC